rnacentral:tRNA from 1 species
GCAUUGUUAGCUUAAUUGGUAAAGCCCUUCAAUGUCACUGAAGGAAAUGUCAGUUCGAGUCUGAUACAGUGCG